rnacentral:rRNA from 1 species
UACGAACCGUACAAACGUUAUUCGGAAUCACUGGGCUUAAAGGGUGCGUAGGCGGCCACGUAAGUGAGAUGUGAAAUCCCUCGGCUCAACCGAGGAAGUGCAUUUCAUACUGCAUGGCUUGAGGGAGACAGGGGUAAGCGGAACUGAUGGUGGAGCGGUGGAAAUGCGUUGAUAUCAUCAGGAACACCGGUGGCGAAAGCGGCUUACUGGGUCUCUUCUGACGCUGAGGUACGAAAGCUAGGGGAGCGAACGGG